rnacentral:lncRNA from 1 species
GGCACGCGUUUGUUCAAACUCCCAAGAAAUGCUAAAGAAAAAGAAGAAGACGACAUUUGUCACAUUGCUCUCUAUUACUCUCCCUAUUACACACUGAUCACGAGAGCUGAAACCGUCUGCGUAAGACAGAGGUUUUGAUUUCGCAUGUGAUUGGAUCCUUCUACCUGAGCAGAAAGAUUGAUCCAAAAUAUACUAGUAUGUGUUCUAAAUAUAUCCAAUUGGGAUUGAGAUUCAUCAAUUCAUGUAGUCUACUCAAUUUAUGAGAAGUUAAUUUCAUGUUUUCGCCCCACAGUUUUUCCUUAAAGUUAUGAUUAAUAAUUAUUUUAUCUGAAAUUAGUG